rnacentral:rRNA from 1 species
GUCCUUUUGAAUUUAAUUUAAGGUUUAACCUGCCCACUGAUUUAUAUUUGAAGGGCCGCAGUAAUUUGACUGUGCAAAGGUAGCAUAAUCAUUAGUUUUUUAAUUAAAAGCUUGUAUGAAGGGUUGGACGAGGUAAAUUCUGUCUCUAUUUAAUUUAUUAUAGAAUUUAAUUUUUAAGUUAAAAAGCUUAAAUUUGAUUAAAAGACGAGAAGACCCUAUAGAUCUUUAUAUUAUUUUUAUUAAUCUUAAUUAAGAUUAUUUAAUUUUUUAAUAAAUUUAGUAUUUUAUUGGGGUAAUAAAAAGAUUAGAUUAAUUCUUUUUUAAAAUUUACAUUAAUAAAUGAGUUUAUGAUCCAAUAUUAUUGAUUAAAAGAUUAAGUUACCUUAGGGAUAACAGCGUAAUAUUUUUAGAGAGUUCAUAUCGAUAAAAAAGUUUGCGACCUCGAUGUUGGAUUAAAAAUUAUUUUAGGUGUAGAAGCUUAAAAUUUUGGUCUGUUCGACCAUUAAAUUUUUACAUGAUCUGAGUUCAGACCGGCGUAAGCCAGGUCGGUUUCUAUCUUUAAUAAAUUUUAAUAUUUUAGUACGAAAGGACCAGAUAUUAGAUAUUUAUAUAUUUAAUAAUUUUGAAUAUUAAUAUUACUUUGGCAGAUUAGUGCAAUGAAUUUAGAAUUCAUAAAUGUAAAUUUUUUACAAGUAAUAUUGUUUUUUUUAGAUUUUUUAUUUUCUAUAAUUUGUAUAAUUCUUUUAGUAAUUUGUGUAUUAGUGGGGGUUGCAUUUUUAACAUUAUUAGAGCGAAAAGUUUUAGGUUAUAUUCAAAUUCGUAAAGGUCCUAAU